GGGUCAGUGGGUUGGUCGUGCCAAUGGUAUGUACUGGUCCUACUGAUUCCUCCUUCUUGAAGAACUGUAAUGCCAUUAAUUUGGUGUUGCAGGGAAACAGGACUGUUACUUUGAAAAAAUUAGAGUGUUCAAAACAGGCUUAUGCUUGAAUACAUUAGCAUGGAAUAACGGAAUAGGACUUUGUUUCUAUUUUGUUGGUUUGCAGGAACAAAGUA
rnacentral:rRNA from 1 species